GCGCCCAUAGUUCAACGGAUAGAAUGCAAGCUUGCGGAGCUUGAGAUUUAGGUUCGAUUCCUAAUGGGCGCACCA
rnacentral:tRNA from 1 species